AGACAGCCCGGCGAACCGCGCAAUGCGCUUCUUCUGCCUGCAGCAGAGAAAAGGAAAGAAAACUCCGCAGGGGCUCCGUUGGCUUCUCCACGAGUGACAACCAUGUUUUCCCAGAUAGAAGACCGGAGCCCUGCUCCUUUGCGAUCCGCCGAGGGCUGCAGAGAGCAUCCUCAUCCAUUUGGGCACCCCUGCCCAGGAAGAGCCCGGCCAUCCCUUUCCGGACUGGAUCCUUAAGAGGUGAAUUUUCUUCCGUGGAUUCCGAUUUGCUCCGUCUGACCAGCCUAGGCAAUCCAGCAUCGCGUGGUACCAGUGCCGCUGGGCACACUGGCUUCACGCCGGCUCCGCCUCACCAGCAAGCGCAUUCCCAGGUGGUCAGGCUCAGGAUGGACCAUGAGCUUUCAAAAAGGAAAAAGCUUUUUCUGGAGGAAAUUCGCAUUUGAAUUGAUGGACUGAAUAAAGCAGAUUGCAGUCCCCAGUGUGGAUGGGCUUGAUCCAGUCUUCUAAGGACCCAAAUAAAAUAGGUGGAGGAAGCUUGAAUUUUCUGCCUGACUGUGGCGCUGGGACACCCAUCUUCUCCUGCCCUUGAACUGGGACUGACACCAUCAGUGCUCCUGGUUCUCAGACCUUCGGACAGCAGACUUGGGGCCUUCUCGGCCUCCAUUAUUGUAGGAGAAAAUGAGACACUGAGUGGGACUCAGGGAUUGCUCCAGGCCACACAGUCAGCAGGAGGCAAAGCCCAGAUUCAAAUGCAGAUUACUCAGCUCCACAAUCCACAUCCUCACAGGAGGCUGCACUCCUUGCCCAAGCGUCAGACAGGAGCAAAGAGAAAGAAGGCAACCAGCUGGCUACUUUCUUCCCUUCUUGGAUGCCUCCAACAGGAUAAAACACUAACUCAGAGAAGAAAUUUAACUGCAAAUUUGGUUAAUGACCAUGGAUUCCUAAUGAGAAGAAAAGCUAGACACUGAGAGUUUAGAAUAAACUCAAGAAUCUUAAAAAUUUUCCCAUGGAACUGCCUUUGCACCUCUAUAAAAAA
rnacentral:lncRNA from 1 species